rnacentral:rRNA from 1 species
GACGAACGCUGGCGGCGUGCCUAACACAUGCAAGUCGUACGGAGUUCACUUGGAAGCUUGCUUCCGAGUGAACUUAGUGGCGGACGGGUGAGUAACGCGUGAGCAACCUGCCUCACAGAGGGGGAUAACACACGGAAACGUGUGCUAAUACCGCAUAAUCCGAUGAAGCGGCAUCGCUUUAUCGGCAAAGGAGCAAUCCGCUGUGAGAUGGGCUCGCGUCCGAUUAGAUAGUUGGUGAGGUAGCGGCUCACCAAGUCUACGAUCGGUAGCCGGACUGAGAGGUUGGACGGCCACAUUGGGACUGAGACACGGCCCAAACUCCUACGGGAGGCAGCAGUGAGGGAUAUUGCACAAUGGGCGAAAGCCUGAUGCAGCGACGCCGCGUGAGGGAUGACGGUCUUCGGAUUGUAAACCUCUGUCCUUGGUGAAAAAGAAAGUGACGGUAGCCCAGGAGGAAGCCACGGCUAACUACGUGCCAGCAGCCGCGGUAAUACGUAGGUGGCAAGCGUUGUCCGGAAUUACUGGGUGUAAAGGGAGCGUAGGCGGGCUUGCAAGUCAGCUGUGAAAUUCAAGGGCUUAACCCUUGACAUGCAGUUGAAACUACAGGUCUUGAGUGAAGUAGAGGUAGGCGGAAUUCCGAGUGUAGCGGUAAAAUGCGUAGAUAUUCGGAGGAACACCGGUGGCGAAGGCGGCCUACUGGGCUUUUACUGACGCUGAGGCUCGAAAGUGUGGGGAGCAAACAGGAUUAGAUACCCUGGUAGUCCACACCGUAAACGAUGAUUGCUAGGUGUGGGGGGUCUGACCCCCUCCGUGCCGCAGUUAACGCAAUAAGCAAUCCACCUGGGGAGUACGGCCGCAAGGCUAA